AGUCGAGCGAACAGAUAAGGAGCUUGCUCCUUUGAAGUUAGCGGCGGACGGGUGAGUAACACGUGGGUAACCUACCUAUAAGACUGGGAUAACUUCGGGAAACCGGAGCUAAUACCGGAUAACAUUUAGAACCGCAUGGUUCUAAAGUGAAAGAUGGUUUUGCUAUCACUUAUAGAUGGACCCGCGCCGUAUUAGCUAGUUGGUAAGGUAACGGCUUACCAAGGCGACGAUACGUAGCCGACCUGAGAGGGUGAUCGGCCACACUGGAACUGAGACACGGUCCAGACUCCUACGGGAGGCAGCAGUAGGGAAUCUUCCGCAAUGGGCGAAAGCCUGACGGAGCAACGCCGCGUGAGUGAUGAAGGGUUUCGGCUCGUAAAACUCUGUUAUUAGGGAAGAACAAAUGUGUAAGUAACUGUGCACAUCUUGACGGUACCUAAUCAGAAAGCCACGGCUAACUACGUGCCAGCAGCCGCGGUAAUACGUAGGUGGCAAGCGUUAUCCGGAAUUAUUGGGCGUAAAGCGCGCGUAGGCGGUUUCUUAAGUCUGAUGUGAAAGCCCACGG
rnacentral:rRNA from 1 species